UCCACGGAAUUCGGAGCAUUCGUCUCCAGC
rnacentral:sRNA from 1 species